CCAAUGGUUUUUUCCCAGCGUUUUUGGGUUGGUAGACACGCCAGAUACCCAAAUGAACGUGUAGAAGCACUAAAAAAGUGGAAUUUUCAUAAUAUGGCCCCUUUAAGACGCGUGGUCCUUGCUCUAAAGGAUCUGUACCGUCUACCUGAGGGCAGGAGAGUAAACAGGUGGUGGCCUGGGUGAGAGGAGUCUUUUAAGAUGUUAUUGGCCCUGCUAAGGUACCGGGAGCGGGCAAUGGAUUCCAGGGAGGGCAGUGAGCAGCCAGUGAUUUUUUGUGCUGUGUUGAUGACCCUUUGGAGGGCUCUCUUGUCUGCUGCGGUGCAACCGGAGUACCACGCCGAGAUGCAGUAGUUUCAUUGCAAGACGUAUUGGGCUUAUCAUCACUGCAAUUCCUGUUCAUGCAGUAGCUGUUAACAAGGGCCCGUAGGAGAUCGUCACAGCUGAUCUGGAAAUAAACAAAACCAUCUGUAAGUCUAUUAGCCUCUCGUCUAAGGUUAUUGUUAAGCAGUUGCACAGAGACAUGUCACCUUAUCACCACAGCCGAGUGGAAUCUCUAAUCGAAAAUCUCUGGGGAUGCUAUUAGCCUGAAAAUGAUAGGACAUAAACAUGUCAAAUGUAUUUGUUUAUUUAUUUGUGAUGACCACAUAAAUCCAUUGUAGAAAUGCAUAGUUACCUUCAGUGAUGAAGAGUGUUUCCACUGUGCAACACUGAAGCCUGACAAGUUUUAAAAAGUACAAUGUGCUUCCACACAACCUCAUAUAAGAUAUAUAAACAUCUGUAACUACCGGUGACGUGCGGUGAGGGUCGUGGUUGGUGAGGCACUGACUCUUUCAGAGUCAGAUUUACAAAUAUAUAAACCCAAUAGAGUAUCUUAAAUCACCAUUCAAUUGGCAGCUUGCACAUUGACUACUGGUUGUUUUUCAUAUCAGCAUUCUUUACACAUAGGUAAGGUACAUACAGUUGGCAGCUACUAGCUUGUGAUGAGCUCGUGUUAAUAUGUGUGAAUAUGCACUCAUGAAUAUGAUCUCUUUGAUACGAAGUUGCACAGGCACCCUGAGGGUUUCUACCUUUUCCCAUUAUAAUUUUAAGAGUUAAAUCGAGGAGACUAUAACAUCAGCUAGAUAACUAGCUAUCAUUUCAUGCACAUUGAACUCUUCUAUUUAAAGUAACACUAUGCAACAAUUUGACACUUUUUGAGAUAUGUUUUUAUAGGCAACUAGUUUUGGUACCAUCCUCAAAUGAAUUUUGAUAGCAUAUGGUCAUGUGAAGGACAGAUACACACCUGUGUCUUCCCCACUAGCCAUCCAGGAUAUGCCUUAUGUAGUUCUGUGUAACAGGCUGGUACACCCUGCAAAAAUGGAAGAAAGCUUUCUCGCAUGACAUUGCCAGUUAAACUGCCAAAAGGCACCAGUUUGUGUGUUGGCAAGCUUCUAUCAGUGUCAACUGUGCUGUCGGUGGUGUUUGCAAGGUUUUUGCAUGCCUUUUAGGUAGUUAGCUUAUUGGUUUUGGAACAAAAAACGUAUUGCUGCUUUAAAGCGUUUAAGGUUAUUAAGUGUCAUUAGCUAGCUAAUUAGCUAACAUAGCAACUAGAUAACCAUAGCAACCAGGAAACACAACUUUAGCUGCAAUUUAAGUUUAAUUUCUCAAAAUCAGCUCACCAAUAAAAAGCAGUGUUGGGUUCAAAGUGAUCACAACCUCUUGUGUGAUGUUAAAUGGCUUCACAUAGACAUUAAACAAUCCUAAGAAAAACAAUGGGAAAUCAACGGAGCAAGGGCUCUGAUAUCUAUAUAAUGUUAGCGAAUGAAGGGUGAGAAGCCCAUUGCUAAUAUUUAGUCUCCGCUGUACGUCCAAAACCAAAUCUAUUCUUGAGGUUCCAAACAUUUUCAAAGCAAUUUGGCUUUGAAUGUGAGUAGUCGAUCAAGUUAUCUUCUGUCCCGUCGUUUGAAGCAUACCUUUAAGCGCCUUUUGGUCUCCCAUUAUUGAUCACUUAACGUUUUGAAUGAAAGUCCAGUUUUGAGAAAUGUUUUAACUUAGCUAUAGAAUCUUCCAUUUUUGCAGUCAAUGUCAAAUAUAGGUGUAGUAGAAGAAGAGCAACGCAGAACAAGCAUAAACCCGAUCGGUGGGCUCGUGCACGCCCCUUCAUUGAGGCAGAGGUACUGUUUGCAGAAACUCUGUGCUUUUUCACUGCGGUUUUAUGUCAGAUCAGCAAGACUAAAUAGGUACUAUGCAUGCGCUCAACCUAGUUUGUGAUGGAUUGCGCAAUCUGAGAUGAGGCUGUCGCUACCGGAUGGUAGUCCUCUACCCGAUAGUAGUCCCGCACAUCGCGCAUGCUCAGACACAAAAGGUUUACGGCAGAAGGCUCAACGUCAACAUAUGGGGCUGUCUUAACGCAUAAUGUGGGUAUAUUUAAUGUAAUAUUAAAUUAUUAAAAGUGUGGAGACGGAGUAAGGGUAAAAGGCAAAUAGUUUGUAUAAUGAAGAAGUGAGAAAAUAUAGCAGUAGGUAAAACAAAUAAAGCAUUGAUGUGCUAGCCAAUAGAACUUGACAGGGAGAACAAAAGAGGAUAUCCAGUAUAUCUUUAACUUCUUUACUUCUUUAUUAUACAAACGUUAAGAACUUACAGCUGUAUACAAUGACCAAACUUCUUAAAGUAUACCGUCUUUCACGAACUUCCAUCAGCUUUAGCCAGCGAUUGUAUUCCGCUGUCUACAGUGUCGCAAAGUGGCGACUGAUCGGGUAGUGCGCAUGCGGACUACCAUCGGGUAGAGGACUACCAUCAGGUAGCGACAGAGGCACAGCUCGUCGCUGCCUCACCGUCUCACUGUUUCCUGUCUGUUUGAACAGGACAUGCGCAAAUUCAGCGAUUUUUAUUAUAAAAAUGCUCGAAAUGAUUGGAAUCAUGCAUAAAUUACAUUUAUAGCACAGAUCAGUAGAGAAAUAGUAAUAUUUAUUUUAUCAUUAUUUGUUUUUUUACUUUUCAUGAUGACAGGUGAGGCUCUGCCCCCCCUGCCUUCCCUGACCGCACGUCCCUGGUUACUACCCCUUAGCGAAACAUAUGAUCCAAACAACAUGCAUAACAUGGUAGUCUGGCUGUCUUUAAAGCAGCAGUAAGGGGCUUUGAUCUAAAACUAGCAAGCUAACUACCUAAAAGGCAUGUAAAAACCUUGCAGACACCACCAACUAUAUAGUGCAUGUCCUGCAUGGCUAGUGGGAACAACAGGUGUGCUUAUUUGUCUAUCACAUGACCAUAUACCAUCAAAGUGUAUUUGAAGAUAAUACCAAAACUAUUUGCCUACAAAAGCGUACCUUACAAAGUGGCAAAUUGUUGCGGUUUUCCUUUAAAUCUGAGCAUUUGUGUAUCCCAGGAAAUCUAAAUUACAGACUUGCAAUUAGUUUUAAAGGUGGAAUCCUUGAAUAUUGUAUGACUCAGUCUGAGCCACUGUGUUUUCCCUGUUUACAGAGCCAGGGCUAGGUUUCCAGAACGUGUUGCAAGCCUAAGUAGUAAAUCACUCUUACGAAUCAUCUUAGAUUUUCGGAGCAUUUCCCAAAAGCAUCGUAAUUUGUAAUACGACUUAACAACAAUACAUUUGUCAAUGUUAAAUGCAAGGGUACGCUCCCAUCCUUCAUUAUAUUUUAUUCAGCGUCUAUUCAGUCAUCAGCAUUUAGCUUUAAAAAGUUAGGCUAUUUUAAGCUUAUAGAGAUAUGUUUAAAAUAUAGACACAUCAUUGGCAAAGUUAUUAAAUGAGACAUUGACAGUCGUUACUGAUUCCAUUUGUCUAAGUUUAGCUCUUUUUUUGAAGGGGGCAGGUAGGGAGGCAUAUUGUAGACUACAUUCAGUAGGGCCUAGGCCUAGCUCACAAGUUGGUACAGAAAGCGGAAGAGAUUAGGGGACUUGUGCUGUGUCAAAAUCAACCGUAUAUUUAACCUAUUUACUUAUUUCCUCACUAUCGUCCUCGACAUCUUCUUGAUCCUUUUUGGUGAUGAGAAGUGUAAUGGAUUAUAAUCAAGGACAGCACCUUCAACGUAAUUACAUUUAUCUACAAAACUGUCAGUUUUUACAGUGUCCACUGCUGAAUUUAAUUUUUUGUAACAGCACCUUUAUCAGCACAUAAAAACUUACCCACUCCUUAAUGAUUGGGAUAUACGGACAGUUGGGGUCUGUAGCAGCAACAAAUCGACACUGUAGUAUUAUCUGUGCAAGAAAUUAUUAAUAUAUUAACACCCAAAAACACUAUAUUAGACAGUGCAUGUCAAAUAGAGAAAUAUAAUAAAAGAGAAUAACAACAUAAUGUAUAAUAUAAGUUAUAAUGAAGUGAAACAAAAAGAAACACCAGUUUGGAUUGCGUGGCAUACAGUUGCAGAACCUGAUAAAUAUGAUAUUGCUACAGAUAAAAACCAUUACCCUUCAUGAAACUGUGGGCUUAGCAUCAGCAAUGAUCAACAAUUUGGCAAUCUACUCACAAUUAGCAGUGUUUUUAUGGUGGAGGAUUUCCCACUCGUCACAUGAUGUGACACAUGAAAAUCAUCAACAAUCAUCUCCUCAUGAAAUACCUUACACAGAGAGAAACGCAUGGGAUUCAGUGAAGAGUUUUAAAACAUAUCAUAUUCAAUCUGAUGACUUCCUAUCAUUCAAUCUGAUCAGUUCAGUUCAGCCAGCCUCCUUCCGAAAGAAGAGCUGGAUCAUGGGCAUCAAAUCGAUAUUCUUUUAUUUUAUUAAUUAUAAAUGUAUUAUUUAUCAACCAUAGUAGGGGGUAGACAUGCAUGUCAGUAAAUUAUGAUCAAUUGUUGUAGCAAAAGCAGUCAUAUCAUAACUGUAUGGAUUAUUGUAGUUGUUGUAUUAUUUUGGAGGGGAAUAUUUGCUGACUUACUCCUCAUGUGAUUCAUUGUAGUUUUGUGGUCAACCUCACAAAAGGGCCACUAUCUCAGCAGUCUACCAUUUUUCUUAUAAACGCUCUCAGCCAGAAUGGAAAAAGGUGACAGGCUGGAAAAAAUUGAAUAUGCUUAAAUAUGAGAGGUACAAUGCAAAAUCUGAUCGUUUUCAAGAUUUUAAAAUAAAAGUUGGCGUGCGCAGCCUUUCAGGCGUGUGGCCUACUGCCCACUAGAGGCCACAUUCACAUACACUGACACAGCAAAACUAGUGAGGCUGGGAAAACAAGAAUGUGUAUCCCUUCUAUGUAUGGGCCGAAUCUGUUUGUUAGAAGGUGUAGAACAAGAUUCUGAAAUGCAGUAUAAAGUGAGGAAUUGUCGUUCCUAUAGCGUGUACAGCCUUUCAGGCGCGUGGUUUAUUGAACUCUAUAGAACGAGUUGACAUACACCGAUACUGGAACGUUAGCUUUAUUAAACUCUUCCAUAUAUUUAAUCAAUGGAGCUUUUUUGGCAACAUUCUGAAGAGCCUUGUAAUAAGUAAGGGAUAAUGUACUGUAUAGUCCGCUGGUCAUUAUUGGAAAAUAACUCCUUUCAGGGCGAAAGAGUCGCAUGCCAUUGAAUGGGCUACCAUAACGUUCGGAGGUCUGAUAUUUCUUUAUAUUUACCGCUGCAAAAAAAUGAAUGACCGCUGCCAUUGGCAACGGGUUUUGUGCUGAUAAUUCACAUCUUUCAUAUCAUACCAUCUCCGCUGCGCAUCGGGGUCCUGUUCCACCUGUCGGGAUUUAUUGUCCAAUACCCAGCGGACUUUACAUGAUCCCUUACAUAUUUCACUUUCUUAAAUUAGAAUCUAUAAUCACAAUUAACACGAGGCAGACAUGCACAUUAUGAUCAAAAUUACGUUUACUUUCAACACUCACUGUACCGUGCGCCUUGGAGCCACCGUUUUAAAUCAAGACUGACUAGCCUAUUACCUGAUAGUUUCUCCACUGAGACUGCUUCAACAUUUCCUGAAUCUAUGGCACGUUGUCGCCAAAGCCGCGCCCCAUUACGAGCGAGCUGGUGUCGUUUUGCAAAGCCCCCCUAUACUAAUGCUAGUUAUACCAGUAAGUCUCACUGAAGUUACAAAAUGAACAUGUAAAAUGAACUUAAACCCUUUGAUGAAAUCUAAUGUAAGCUAUAACAUCAAAGAAAGUAAAGUAACAUUUACAACAAGUAACAGUUAUGUUUACAAUCCAAUCUGCUCUCACCCAUGUAGAGGAGAAGGGACAACACUCACUUUGGAGACUGGAAGUGAAAGGUUUUUGGUUGAGGUGUUUCGGUUUCUGAACAGUCUCUGGAGUGACCUCUCCUUUGUCGUCACACUCACGGCUGUCCAGGGAAAAAUAAUUGAUGUCUCCUUUAGUCCUUUCAUUAUGUGUGUAUGGGGCUGUUACUUUUCGUUAACUUUCCCAUACGCUCUAAUACGCAGACCAUACCUGCCAACUCUCCCGUUUUUCCCGGGUUUCUCCCGUACUCUCUGACCCAUCUCCCGCCCCCUUCCGUUAUGUCAUUUCUGUAUGAAACGCAAUCAUGUCUUACACAAUAAAUACACUAUACCAUAUUCAACCCAUUUGUCAAUAUGGCAACCUAUAUCAUAUUGCGCAAUUGAUUUUACUGCGUAGCAGUGCCGGAUUAUCAGGGGCGAUGUGUUCCUUUGGGCAAGGCGGGC
ensembl:lncRNA